GCCUGGCACAAUGGAGGACUCAGUAAGCAUCGUUCCCUGGUUCCAGAGGUAAGGAAGUGUGUUUUGGAGCUCUGCAUAUCCAGUCACACUGUCAUAGGGAAAGGGGGCAGAUGUGACGUCCCCAAGAGAAGUUCUGUUGAGUGAUUGUGGGAAUCCAAACCCAGCCCAACCCCAAGCCCUAAACUGGAUUUGAAGCAUGGGAACAUCUCUCAGGGGACUGUGGGAGUGACAGGCCUUGUGGACGUUGGUCCUCAGAGGAGGGCAGCACUGGCACCUUGCUGUCCUGACCAGUGCCCAACCUAAUGGGGACAGCGGUUGAUUCUCCCAGCUGACGCUGAAGCUCUGACCAGAUUGGUCUCUAAGAAAACCUCUAACUCAGAGUUUCAGAGAUAGCCAAGGACCCAAGAGAAAUUCAGCUUCCAUGUGAUGUGUGUUCCAAGAUGGUGAACAUGGUUGGACAUCUUUGCCUCUUGACCUUGGGAGCAUCGAUAAGGCCUGAUGUUCACUACCCACGGACGGAGGAGAGAAUGAAAAAUGGAAAUAGAACAAUUGGCUUUCACUUUUUAGUGAGAAAAGAGAAUUACAAGGCACUCCUCUCAGGGGACACUUUACCCAUAAGUGUCCGGGGCCUGAUGAGGAGGGUGCCAGCCGCAUCUUGCAUCCUCAAACUGCAAAUCACUCACUAUGGACAGGUGGGGCAGCUGGAGAAACUGGUUGAUGCUCAUGAUUCACAUAUUCCAUCCAGAGCCUACAAGCUUGAAACAUGGUCUUCGUGGAGAAAGGGAUGACCCUUCCCUUUAGGAAUGAAGAUAGAGAGCUGGAGUCCAAGGGCCUUUCCAAGGAGUAACUCAGCAGAAGCAGUUCUUUGCACCUGUCACAUCCUGCACAUUAGGUGUGGUGUUAUGCAUGUGUAACCUCAUCUAUCUCUAGAGCAACAGCAGGAGGCAGGUGUUAGUGCCCCAUUAUCCAGAGGGAAGACUGAGGUUUGUGUGGGUAAGUAGUUGAUGGGCUCAAGGUCAACAGCUGGGAAGCAGCUAGACCAGCAUUUGGACCCAGAUCCAUCGACCACUUUCCACUUGGCCACACUGUCAGCAGCUGCAGGAAAAGUCUGCGACAGCACGUAUUGGGUAAGAUUUCCUCAACUUUGUAACCUCCCUGUGCUUUUUAUUUAGGUCUCUCCACUGUCUGUGUCCCCACUGCGAUUAGUUGAGAAUAAAAACACCUUCAAACAAGAGGAGCUCAUCUGCUUGUCCUUAGAGGCAACAAGAAGAGAAAUCUCUCAUGAUCAGUGGGGCUGGAGUGGGGAAAGGCCGAGCCCAGAAUCCAGCUCACAUUCACCAAACCUUGGCCAACUGUCUGGAAUUGCUCUGGGUCCUCAAAACCGCCUUCUGAACAGACUUAGCUGCAGUGUGGCCUGCUCCCAGAAUUCUUUCUCUUGACUUCUAUUUUCACCCAGAGUAUACGGACUCAGAAAAAUGAAGAGAGAGAAGUACAAAGACAAAAGAUCAGUAACCAAGCUAGAGGAACUAAUCCUGGAAUUAAAACUUGUUCCUUGGGAAUGCUCUUCUCCUGUACAUAAUAAUCUCAUUUGACUAAUGCAGCCCCAUUAGGCGUGUAAGUACAGUUUGAAAGCAGUAUUAGUGUCAGGAGAGACCAAGUUAGAACAGCCACUAAGCUGUCAAGGCUCUUUAAAAUAUGAUUCCAG
ensembl:lncRNA